GUUGUACUAUUCAUUAUCCGAUGUUGGUUAUAAUUUAAUCAUUGACCCUUAACCUUGAUCGGCAUAAUCUCGUGAAAAUUGAGAUGAUCGAAUGAUUGAAGGAUAACACGUGGAGUGAUUUCAUGAACAAAGGAUCUAAAUUUAGUAUUUCUAAAGAUGAUCUUUGUUUGCAGUAAGUAAGAGUUGCGGCUCUUACCUCUGAUUUAAACAUAUCCCAGAGUGUUUUUAAAUUUUUGGUUUGUUAUUUUAACAGUAUAAUGAGAUUGUAGGACUAUGUACAUGAUGUAGGCGUUUACCAUGUUUACAGUAUUUACGGAGACAAUUGGAGUAGUUAUUGUUUGCAGAACAUACAGAAUUAGUACUUGCAUUUUUUUUACAGAGGAACAUGUUAGAUGGUGAUACAUGUAUUUGACUUGCGAUGGAUUGACCAAAGAUUUUUAUAUUGUGGAUUAAAUUGGGCAUUUGAAAUAUUUCUAAUGUGUGGAUUACAAGUGAUAUCCAAAUGUUGUUUACAUGAUGUAAAAUAUGACUAUGAAUAUGUUCUACUAUUAUAAGGAUUAAAAUGGACGGAUAAUUUGUUAUAAAGCAAGGAUGUAUCAUUGAGAAGUUGUUGCGGAUAGUUAGCGAGAUAAACAGAAAAAUUGAAUUCAGAUAUAUGUGGAUUAAUGAAAUGAUAUCUAUCAGGGAUAGCUUCUUUAUAAACUUUAAAUUUGUUGGAUCUAUUUUAUUUUUAUUUCUAACAGCUAUUCUAUUUUCUAUAAACAGUUCAAAAAUAUAUUUAUUUAAUAUGUUUAUUGUAUUUUGAUUCUGUAUUAUUAGCGUCUUAAUAAAUUUGAUUAUCGA